rnacentral:rRNA from 1 species
AAAGCCUGAGGAUAACACCCUCAGGUCAUGACGGUACCUGAAGAAUAAGCACCGGCUAACUACGUGCCAGCAGCCGCGGUAAUACGUAGGGUGCGAGCGUUAAUCGGAAUUACUGGGCGUAAAGCGAGCGCAGACGGUUAUUUAAGCAAGAUGUGAAAGCCCCGGGCUCAACCUGGGAACUGCGUUUUGAACUGGGUAACUAGAGUGUGUCAGAGGGGGGUAGAAUUCCACGUGUAGCAGUGAAAUGCGUAGAGAUGUGGAGGAAUACCGAUGGCGAAGGCAGCCCCCUGGGAUAACACUGACGUUCAUGCUCGAAAGCGUGGGUAGCAAACAGGAUUAGAUACCCUGGUAGUCCACGCCCUAAACGAUGUCAAUUAGCUGUUGGGGUACAUGAUGCCUUAGUAGCGUAGCUAACGCGUGAAAUUGACCGCCUGGGGAGUACGGUCGCAAGAUUAAAACUCAAAGGAAUUGACGGGGACCCGCACAAGCGGUGGAUGAUGUGGAUUAAUUCGAUGCAACGCGAAGAACCUUACCUGGUCUUGACAUGUACGGAAUCUCUUAGAGAUAGGAGAGUGCCUUCGGGAGCCGUAACACAGGUGCUGCAUGGCUGUCGUCAGCUCGUGUCGUGAGAUGUUGGGUUAAGUCCCGCAACGAGCGCAACCCUUGCCAUUAGUUGCCAUCAUUUGGUUGGGCACUCUAAUGGGACUGCCGGUGACAAACCGGAGGAAGGUGGGGAUGACGUCAAGUCCUCAUGGCCCUUAUGACCAGGGCUUCACACGUCAUACAAUGGUCGGUACAGAGGGUAGCCAAGCCGCGAGGUGGAGCCAAUCCCAGAAAACCGAUCGUAGUCCGGAUUGCACUCUGCAACUCGAGUGCAUGAAGUCGGAAUCGCUAGUAAUCGCAGGUCAGCAUACUGCGGUGAAUACGUUCCCGGGUCUUGUACACACCGCCCGUCACACCAUGGGAGUGGGGGAUACCAGAAUUGGGUAGGGUAACCUUCGGGAGC